rnacentral:lncRNA from 1 species
AUUUGACAUUGUUUAUAGAACAAUUUAUAUUUAAUUCUAUAUAAAAAAAUCAAUAAAAAUGACUGUUAUUAAUUCACAUAUGUUUAUUUCUCUCUGUUAAAUUUAAAUUCAUAUUUUUGGUUUCACAAGCAGCAGUAAGCAGUUUCGAUUUGAUUUUCAUAUAUUUCAUGAAUUCACCAUAAGACAUGCACAGGUGACCUUUACACAGAGUUCAGCUCUAACUAAACUUGUGUCCCAUACGAUUCCUAGAUAUUGUCCAUGAAAUAUUCAUUAAGGCGUGUAACGAAGCUAGUUUACGAGUCGUUGGCACUAGCGGAAAGCUAACUUGCCCAAUGUAAACAACCCCGCUAGCGAACAUGUCACUUGCCGGGAUAGUGGCAAGUAAAGUUGAAAUCCUGGCUACUUUACUGUCCACUUGCCGGCCACGUGACCUGCUUCCGGCUUCUACUGCCUCUGUGUAAACAGAGACAAACCCAUCAGCGGCUAGUCCCACGUGUGAGAUUAAGAUGUCUUCGAAAUGUAAUUCGGAAGAUAUUCUAAAAUUCCUCGAUAUAUACGACGAAUACGAAUGUCUGUGGAACAUUAGAUAUUCAGAUUAUCACAAUAAAUCCAUUCGAAAAAGUAGAAUGUCCAAAUUGUUGCAUGUAUUGUUACAAGAAAACCUUGUAAUAGAAAAUAUGGAAAGUUUAAGAAAAAAUAAAAGUGAUUAAAAAUGUGUGCCGGCAAGAAGUUUUAAAAAUAGAAAAAUCGAAGAAAAGCGGUGCAAGUGUGGAUGAUACAAUUUAGAUUUUGUAUGCGACACCCAAUAGAAAAUACAACUUGCCAGUACACAACUUGCGGCUUCUACUAGUCGCAUAUAAAUAAAAACUUUCCCUGUAAGUCGACUCG